GCCGCUGUAGCUCAGUGGGAGAGCGUCCGGCUGAAGACCGGAAUGUCGUCGGUUCAAAUCCGACCAGCGGCA
rnacentral:tRNA from 1 species